rnacentral:lncRNA from 1 species
GGGGUCAGCUGAAGCACACCUCACAGUGCAGGAUUUUUCUUGCUGUGUUGAAGACCCAUUGGUGGCUUUAAACUGUUUUCUGCUCUUUUGUAUGAUUGUUGUCUCUUUGACACAUUCCCGAUUUCCAUUAGGGUUGUUGUCUCUUUGACACAUUCCCGAUUUCCAUUCUAAAUUUUAUUUGUUAUGAAAGUAAAGUAAGACACAUUUCAAGCAUGAUAUUUAUUCUACAGAUCAACAAUGCAUAUGUAAAAGUAAAAAAACAAAAUCCUUUUAACAGGAUUCUUAUAAAAUAUAAAGCAUGAUAGAAUUUAAAAUAAAAACAAUCACAGCACCAGUCUGGAAAAUUGCUACAUUUCCCUAAAAAUAUGACAAUAAAAUCAAUGGUCCCCUUCCUGACUGAAAAAGCAACAGUAAAUUUUAAAAUUUCCUUUUCAGAAGAAUAGAAUUUUGCAAGACCUUGACAAAAUAAGAAUUAACUUUUCAAAAUAGCUAGAUAUAUAUAGAUUAAGGUGGUAUGGGUGUCUUCCUCCAUCUUGGAUUGUAAAAAACAGAGAAUCAAAGGUCCAGAUUUUCCUUCAAGUUAGCAAAAUUUGAUGCAGGAAUGCAGAUGUUUAAUGUACAUUUUCAUUUAAAAGUACCAAUUUAUAAGAAUAUAACUUCUAAAUAUUGAUAUUUUGGCAAAUGUUAAUUAUUUUGGUUGUUUUCAUUUUUUUUUUUAAAUUGGCAUUUUAAGGGGAGGUAACUCUGAAAAAGUGCAUUUUCUGAAGGAUUCUGU